rnacentral:lncRNA from 1 species
AUAUGUGCAAGUUUAUUUCUGGGCUCUGUAUUCUGUGCCAUUGAUCUAUUUGUCUAUUAAGUACUAUAGUUUUAUAGUAAGUCUUAAUGUCAGGAAUAUAGGUCUUUCAACUUUGCUAUUGUUUUCCAAGAUUGUUUUGGAUAUUUUAGAUCCUUUCCAUUUCCAUAUACAUUUUAGAAUCAGUUUGUCCAUUUCUCUUUUAAAGACCUGGUAGUAUUAUGACUGCUAUUGUAUUGAAUCUAUAGAAGAAUUCUGGGAGGAUUUACAUCUUAACAAUAUUGUGUCUUCUAACUCAUGAUCAUGGUAUAUCUAUUUAUUUCAGGUUUUUAUUUGUUUUUUAAAGAUGGAGUUUCAUUCUGUCACCCAGGCUGGAGUGCAGUGGCAUAACCAUGGCUCACUGCAGCCUCAACCUCCCAGGCUCAAGCGAUCCUCCCACUUCAGCCUCACAAGUAGCUGGGACCACAGACAAGGUCUCUCUCUGUCAUCCAGGCUGGAGUGCAAUAGCAUGAUCAUAGCUCACUGAUACCUUGAACUCCUGGGCUCAAGGGAUCCUCCUGCCCCAGCCUCCCAAGUAGCUGGAACUACAGGUACACUUCAUGAUGCCUAGCUAAUUGUUUUUUAAUUUAAUUUAAUUUUAUUUUAUUUUAUUUUAUUUUUUGUAGAAAUGGGAAGGUCUCGCUAUGUUGCCAGGACUGGUCUUGAACUCCUGGCUUCAAGAGAUCCUCCUGCCUCAGCCUCCCCAAGUGCUGCUAUUACAGGCAUGAGCCACCACGCCCAGCCAUUCUCUCUUAAUUGAGAGCAGUCUAUGCCUCGCAUUUUGUUUGUCAAGCCAUUGACUUAUUGCAGAAAGUGAAUCAGUGAUCCUGUAGAAUAUCCCACAUUUUAGAUUUGUUUGUUUUCUUUUUUAUGCUGUCAUUUACUUUAUUCCUCUAUAUCCCAUAUUUUUCUAUAAUGGAAGUUAGCUUUAGAAGCUUGAUGAUAUUCAGGUUCAACUUUCUUCAUUUGGUCAAUAAUAUUUAACAGGGGUAACUGUGUAUUUUACUUUGAAUCACAUCUGGAGGCACACAUCCAUUCCAUUUUUAAUAAAUGAGUAACAUCUUGAUUCCUUCA